AUGGAGAGCCCUCCCGUUGGGAAGUACGAAACCCAUUCCGAGCCCGGUGUGCGCCCAACACUGUGCUAGUAGACCCUGUCUGUUGCUUUUCUUAAUCAUCAGAGCUACUGAGGGAGGGAGGCCUCAUUGUCCCAUUAUGCAGGUAAAGAAACAGAGGCUCAGCAAGAGAAAGACAUUUGUCUGACACUACUCAGCUGAGGAAGACAAGGAUUCAAACCUGAGCCAGUGUAGAUGUAACAUCAAUGCAUUUGCCACCUCCUCUGCUGAAUCAGGAGGGAAGAAGGGCCACGGGGUCUCCAAGUAAAACAGCUCUCUCCGUGACUUUGCUGAGAGCCAUCUGGACUCUCAACAUUAUCAUCAACUGAAUGGUUUUGGUGCUGACCCUAUGCUGCUCCACUUCUGCCUCACAUGAUUUCCCACCCUCCUUGGGUUUGUGUUUCUAGUUCAGGGCUGCAAAGUCCAUAAGGAGGGAAUGCUCCUCCUUCUCUCCUGCAAAAUCGUUCUGUGUGCACAGAACAUAUUAACAUGUUGUACACCUAGAUGUGCUGUCUGAGCCGUAUUAGUAAAACCAUGGAUACUUGAAUAGGGAAAUGUUAGCCUAAUUCACAUAUGAAAUACGGUGUUUUCAGCCUGUUAAAUUUCUAGACGCCACAUUUUGCAAGGAGCAGUGUCCAGAUGAGAGAAACUGGCGUAGGGCAGGGGCAGGCAGGUAGGGUGGUUCCAGGAACAAAACCAUAACAGGAAUUUUUGAAGGAAUCAGAAAUGGUUAGGCUGGAGAGACUUGUAAAUAUUGGACUUAGGCAAACAUAGAAGGAAAGAAGGAACCCUAACAAAGGGAUUGAUCGGUAAAUGAAAAAGAAUUUGAGCCAUCCAUUAAAUGGCCUUUAUCUAUUCAACACGUAUUGAGAAUAAACUAUUCUCUACACUCAACACUGGAACCUAUAUGAAGUGGCUGCUUUGGGUGACAAGCUUCCAGUGGCAGGAAGAGGCAAGCAGAAGUUUGACGGGCUUCCUGUCAUGGGUGAUAUUCAAGGGGUCCAGUACUAAAUGGAUGAUUGGAAAAGAUGAAUUCUAGGUAUCGUAAAUCAAAUGUCCAAAACCUCCGUAAAGAGAAGUACAGUCAUGUACUUCUAUCCAGAAUACCGAAUGCAGGACAUCGCGUGCCCUCGUUGUUGGAUGAGUGGCUAAUGCAAUGCAUAACUGUUCUCUCCAUGAGCAGCAUAGUCAGGGCACGUAAUGAGGGGGACCAUGUGAGCAGUAGUUUCUCAUGCCCCAAGAGAACUCAACGGGAAGAGGGCUGAGAUGAAAGCAGAAUGAAUUUAGCUGGAAGUAAUGCGCUGACCCACAAGGGGACCGGUCACUGAAAUGAGCAUCUGAGGGAAAGUCGUCUCUCGGUCCCAAGUGAUUCCUUGAAAUCUCUUAGGAUGUCUGAGCCUGUAAGACAGUAAUCAUCAGGAGUACAGUGUGCUCAUUAGACAUAGCCCUAGGCUAUAGAAUCAACGUUGGGCAGAAUUAUUCAAAUUGCUCUGCUAACCGUUGGACUUUGUGAACUUAACUGGUUGUCCUGCCUCCUACCCUUUCAUCCUCUUCCUCCUGCCUAUGGCUCUCAGGCCUUCCUAGCAGUUGUCCCAAGAGCUCUGUGUCUGUGCCUCUCCGUUUGAAUUAUGGGACAGAUCUGUCACAUGCUUUUCAAGAUGCCCGCAUCCUGGUUUGUACUUCAUCUAACCCUCCUCAACACAGAAACGUCAUUCAGAGGCAAAGAAUGCUGCCUCCGUGCCAGGCACUCGGCCAGUUGUGGGACAUGCCUGGCUCUCUUGGAGUCCCCCGAAAAUCUUUUCGGCAGAUGGGGAGCUAAGAACCUAGGAAAGUUGCCCAAAACAUACAGCAGGCAGGUGGCGGGGUCAGGUUCAGUCCAGGGGUGUGUGUGUGUGUGUGUGUGUGUGUGUGUGCAUGUGUUUUCUGGACUCCAAAUCUGGUGCUCUUCCUAUUCCGUGGGAAGAAGGGAUAGCCCUCUCAUUGCUCUCCUAGCUCCCCCAGGGCUUCUCUGGCUGGGUUUCGAGCCGGGCAGAACAUGCUGUCUUCCCGAUGGGUGAAUGCCAGGUGUGCCUCCCUUUGCCGUGAGCCAAGAGCUGUUCUAAGGAACAGCUUCAAGUGUGGCCAUUGAAAGCACUGUUCCCAGCCCUGUACCAGGUCUGUUUCAUUCAACCUGGUGCAGCAAGACGGAAUAGACAGCUUGGACAACUGCUCUGCCAAUUUCUUCUUGAUCCGAGAGCAUCUGCCCAAGGGAACAGUGUGUUCUGAGGAGGCUUAUGAACAAGCAUCACAGCCGAAUGAGAAAUCCUACCUUCUGACUAUCUUUCAUGUCUCCCCAGGGGUCACAGCUCCUUGACUGUAGUCAGUGCUCAGCAAAUAGAUAAUGGAUGAUGAAAUGCAAGUCUAGAGCUUCAAUUUCCCCAUCUUUAAAAUGAUGGGGGUAAACAGUAUCUUCCGAGUAGGUGGAGAGCACCCAAUCAGCAAGCUCGCUUUCUUCUUCUCUGAUUGGUACUUGCUAAAUCUUUGAUAUUAGUUUCCCUCCACCCCACCACUUUCGGCUUCCCUCACUGCUUUGGGGAGAUUAGAUCACUCACUGCAGCCAAGGGAUCAGCAGCCAAUGUGCACUUAGGGCCCCGCCACUCAGAGUCCAGGUGGAGGUUCAGCGGCCAAGGUGCUGUGGACCAGAGCACCAUUUAUCCCUGAAACCCAUCAAAACUUGCUUAGCUCCUGGAGAAGUACAUUUCAUUUCUGAUGCCUCCCCCUCUCUCUGGUUCUCCAAUCCACUUGACCUUGAUUUGGGAAAUGGGGACAUGAAAGAGAGCAGCCUCAAGCUGAGAGAGCACAGGUGCCCAACCAUAAGACCAUGCAGGAACAUUUAUAGGUCCACCGCGUCAAAGCAUCUCCUGUGCACUUAGCGAUACUGAAGCCAAGGGAAUCAUCCCAUGACAUCCCCACAGACAAGAGCUUACAAUGUGUCACAGAGUGAGGACAUUUAUUCUAAGAGGCUUCAGGGAGCAUCACUACCCAGCCUGUAACAAGGUCUUAUCUUGUAAAUGCCCAGAGGACCAGGGAAGGGUUAGUUUCACAUGCUGGUUUCAUUGCAGAGCCCAGGGAUUAAUAUAUAAUGCAUUCAGUGUUGGUGAAGCAACAGAUCUAUGGCUGGGUUGAGCUGAGAAUGACACUGGCAUGAAGAGAAUCCCCCUAUUUACCCACCUCUCUUGGCUGCCCUGCUAGCUUGUGUAUGUGUGUGGGCUGAAAACUUGCUUCCUGAUAGGCUUUGCCUUGCAUCUGUGAAUCCUAUGGGAGAGCUGAGGAUUGGUGGAAACUUCAGAAGGACCCUCAUUUUACUUUACCUUUUUUUUUUUUUUUUUGGUUAAUGAAUUUAUCAUGGAUGAUGUUUUUGUUAAUUUAUCACAGUGGGCUCUGUUUGUGUUUUAACUGAAUUUGAAUUAUGUCACUGUGAAGUUAAAAAUUACUAUCACUAUUUUACAAAAUGAAAAAGACUCAGAGAUUAUACAUAAGUUGCUCAGUUUCACAAAUUUAGAAUGUGAAAGAGCCAGUAGUCAGAUUCUAGUCUUUUCCAUUCUGAAUAUAUUAUUCUUUCUACCCAACUGGUGCCUCUCUUCAAGUACAACUUCGUAACAAUAAUGAAUAGUUUGAGAUAUUACAUUAAGUUCCUAAUAUCUUUAAAAAAAUUCUUGUAUUUUCCAAGUUCCCAGGAGCGUUUUUUUCCAUAUGGAUAUGCAUUUUAAUAUAGUUAUAAUCAUUACAUAGGAAUACUUUUGUAUUCUAUUCUCUUGUCUUGAUGUUAUAUGAUACGCUUUUCCUGAUAUUGCUAAAUAAUCUUUAAAAUGAUCAUUUAUAAGAAGGCAAAAUAAUCCACUGGGUUAAUUUCCCAUAAUUUACUAAAACAUUCUCUUAUUAUAAGCCACUCAUCUUUUUCUCACUUUUUGCUCUUAUGAACAAUGCUGCUGCGAAGAUGUUCAUGCAUAGAACUCCUUCUCUCGAAGCAGUAUUUCAUAGAGGAAGGAACAGGGGAUGGGACUCAGGCAGAGGGAGUUUGAAUGCAGGUGCUCCAUCAUAAUGAUGCUGCAGCAUCAGAGAAAUCGUUAGCCAUUGUUCUAGCUUCCUCAUCUAUAAAAUGGGAAUAAAAAUACAUGUGAAGGACGCCUGGGUUGCUCAAUGGUUGAGUGUCUGCCUUUGGAUCAGGUUGUGAUCCCGGGGUCCUGGGAUCCAGUCCUGCAUUGGGCUACCCAUAGGGAGCCUGCCUCUCCCUCUGCCUAUGUCUCUGCCUCUCUCUCUGUGUCUGUCAUGAAUAAACAAAUAAAAUCUUAAAAAAAAAGAAUAUGUGUCCAUUUCAUGAUUGGAUUGUUUCCUUGCUGUUGAGUUUAAUAAGUUCUUUAUAAAUCUUGAAUAAUGUCCACAAUAGCUAAACUGUGGAAGGAGCCUCGGUGUCCAUCGAAAGACAAAUGGAUAAAGACGAUGUGGUCUAUGUAUACAAUGGAAUAUUACUCAGCCAUUAGAAACGACAAAUACCCACCAUUUGCUUCGACGUGGAUGGAACUGGAGGGUAUUAUGCUGAGUGAAGUAAGUCAGUCGGAGAAGGACAAUCAUUAUAUGGUUUCACUCAUACGGGGAAUAUAAAAAAUAGUGAAAGGGAUUAUAGGGGAAAGGAGAGAAAAUGAGUGGGAAAUAUCAGAGAGGGAGACAGAACAUGAGAGACUUCUAACUCUGGGAAAUGAACAACGGGUGGUGGAAAGGGAGGUGGGCGGGGCAUUGGGGUGACUGGGUGAUGGGCACUGAGGGGAGCACUUGAUGGGAUGAGCACUGGGUGUUAUGGUAUAUGUUGGCAAAUCGAACUCCAAUAAAAAAUAUACAAAAAGAAGAACGAAAUACAAAAAAAAAAAAAAGAAUAUGUGUCAAAAGACUGAUAAUGCAGAAGUGAUAGCAUAAUGACAUGCUUAACCCAUGACAGCUAUGUAAUCAAUUUCAGCCCUUCUUUCCUGUUUAGAAAACCCCAGUAAGUAGAGUGUGUGAGUGCAUAUGCUUUUGUGAAUUUUGAACCUACUGCAAAAUUUCUUUCCAACAAGGUUAGAACAACUUUUUGCUGUCACCAGUAAUAUGUGAAAGUACUAUUUCACCACAAGCGCACAAACAACUGAUUUUAUUAUUUUUGGUGCCCAUAGUUUUGAAAGGGAACAAGAUAGAAGUAAAAAUCAGCUGUAUGCUCUUUCCCUGUGAAGAUGCUGGACUAUAUGUUCACAAAAAUGAGUCACAAAGCUUUUGAAGGACAGAGACUGAUUAGUGGCCAGCAAGGCUUACACAUAAGUCCCAUAUGACUAAACAAAUCUCCAUGAACCAAGCGACUGAUGGGAUAUAAAGAAUGUAUUCUUGACAGGAAACAUUAUCUGACCUGAGCAUGGGUGACUGGUAGACAUUGCAAAACCUUCUUAACUGAUUAUUUUUUUUUAAAGGAAGACUUGUCAUCAGAUAAGGAGGCUUAACAAGAUCCUCUUCCAAAUUGGAUUUGACAUGUGCCUGGCACUCAGGCAGCUGAGCCCUCCCUCCCCAGAUGAUUCUCUGCAGCUACAGCCCAGGGCAGCAGGGCUUUGCCCUGCCUGCUGCUGACACAGCUGCUAAUCCCAGGCUAAUGAGCAGUCCUGAGGUGGGGGUGGCAGUGAGGCUGGGGGAGCCGGCAAGGGCAUUGUGGGCAUUGUGGUAAGGAGGAGUGUUGUUUGCUAGGGAAGCCAGAGAUUGCCAGUGCUCUAGGUCCUAUCCUGAUCUGGGCAAAGACUUAGACCGGAUGGUGCAGAGAGACAGAGACAGAGACAGAGAGACAGAGAGACAAAGAGACAGAGAAAGAGACAGUUGCUGAGGCCUACUUGGUGCCCAUGUUCAUUUGUUCAGCCUGUAAACCCACAUAGAAAGAUGGAUAAUAUUGGGGGGCUGUCUUCUUAGGACAUCUCUUCAACAUGGUUUUGAUUUUUAUUCAUUUUAAUUUGAUUUUACUUAGGAAAAGGAUUGGGGACAGAGGGUACAUUGGAGGUGAUUUGCCUUGGAUGUUAUAUUUACCUGGAGAUGGCUUUAAAGACCUCAGGCCAAAAUGUGACUUAAAAAAAACACUAUCCCACCCAUCACACACAUACCCACUAACACAUCUACUUAGUCAUAUAUCUACAUGGUAUCAGGAUGGAUGGAUAGAUGAUAGAUAGAUAGAUAGAUGAUAGAAAAUUUUUUUCAGUAUUAGAAUAUCUAGAUUCCUGUCACAUCCAUGCAGCUCUGUCUUGUAGGGUACAAGACAUCUAAUGCAUCUAAUGCAUCUGAUUUUUCAUUUCUCAACUUAAAAAAUGACAGUAAAGUAUAUGAAUGGUUAAGUCCCCAAAAGGAAGUCUUAGUGGCCAACGUGUACAUGAAGAGAUGCAGAUUUAUACAACAGUGAGAUUAAUUUAAAACUUAUCAAAGGGCAAAUGUGUUUGCAUGUGUGUGUGUGUGUGUGUGUAAGGAUGUUGAUCAACAUGAAUUCUCAUCCACUGUUGAUAAAAAGUGUAAACUGGCAAAACUACUUAUUUCGUAGUCAUAUAAGUGAAUAGUUACAUGUAAAGAUAAAUGAUUCUCACAUCCUGGGAGAACCAGAAGUUUUACAUAUAGGUCUCUCCUGGAACAUAGAUGUACAUGGGAGAUAGACACAGGAAUUCAGAUUUUUGGUAUUGUCCAUAUGAAAAAUUAUAAGCAGCUUAAUGGCAAUCAUCAGAAGAAUGCAAAAAUAAUUUUGGAGUACUCCUAUGAGGAUAUAUGGACACAGCAGAGAUGCUGAAGGGACUAGAGACAGCUUUAAGGAGCUUCCAUUGACCAAAUUUGAGAUAAUUUGAGCACCAAAAUAAUUAAGGAUAGUGAUAAGCAAUAGACCCUGCAAAAAUAGGAAUUCAUGAAUCUACAUUCUUAAUUGAUGUUAGAUAGAGAAAUGGAUUCAAUACAUAGAUUAACACAUAUACACAUGCAUACAGUAUAUGCAUGAGAAGGGAGGCCUCUUGUUUACAUUAGAAUGCUGUGAACAGACUGGAGUGCUGGAGUUUGGAAAUCAUUAUUUUGCAACCUUCAUGGUAAAGGUGAGAAGGGAAGAAUCACCAGUGGAUAUUAAAUCUAGAGGGAGUUUUGAUGAAAGCAAUAUUUACAUGAUUUUUAAAUGUCUUCCAUGCACUGAUUAUUAGUUGAAAGGAAAAAAAAAUCAAUAAAUAUAUGCUGAAAAAAUUGCUAACACCUUGACUGAGUGAUCAAAAUUAACAUCACCAAUGAAGAACAGAUGGACAUUGUGUGUCUCCAGAUGUGAUAUCCUACGAGAGCACAUGACCUUAAUUUAAUCAUGAGGAAAUAUCACAUAACCCAAAGUGGAUAACAUUCUAUUACAAGAUAGAAGGGCUGUAUUCUUCAAAAUAUUAUUGUCAUAAAAGACCAGGAAAGACUGUUAAAACAUUCCAGAUUAUCUAAAGCUAAAGAAACUUGACAACAAAGCAGGAUUCUACUAGAAAAGAGAAAGAUCCUGUAAAGGACAUUUUUAGGCAAACAGACACAAUCAGAAUAUGUAUGGUAUAUUAGUGGGAAGUAUAUAAUGAAUGUAAAUGUAUGAAUUUGAUUAAUUGCAGUGGUUAUGCAAAAAAGUAUUCUGACUCAUAGAAAUACACAUUUUUAAGUAUUUAAGGGUAAAGAUCCAUGAUGUAUGUAAAAUACUCUCAAGUGUUUCAGAAAAUAAUUACGUACACAGCAAAUGAAGAGGAAUAUUAAUAAAGAUGAACCUGUAUAAAGGAUAUUUGGAAGUUCCUUAUACUGUUGUAUUUUUAUUACUCUUUGUCAUUAUUUAUUUUUAUUAUUAAUAUAAAGAUAUGUGGGAAAUGCAGCUAAACCAAUGGUUAGAGGAACAAGUGGUAGCUUUGAAUGUUUAUAUUAGGAAGACAGGUAUAUAAUUAAUUAAAUUAAAAAGCACAAUUAAUUAUCUAAGUUUCCACUAUAGGGGGACAAAAAGAGAAACAAGGCAAUUAAGCCUAAAUUAAGGAAAUGUAAGGAAAUAUAAAAAUAAGAGCAGAUAUCACAAAAAUUUUAAAAAAA
rnacentral:lncRNA from 1 species